rnacentral:rRNA from 1 species
GGACUACUCGGGUUUCUAAUCCUGUUUGCUCCCCUUGCUUUCGGGCCUCAGCGUCAGGUCUAAGCUAGAAAACCGCCUUCGCCACCGGUGUUCUUCCACAUAUCUACGCAUUUCACCGCUACAUGUGGAAUUCCGUUUUCUCCGCCUAUCCUCUAGAAAUGCAGUCUCAAAUGCCGUUCCGGGGUUGAGCCCCGGGCUUUCACAUCUGACUUACAUCUCCGCCUACGCCCUCUUUACGCCCAAUAAAUCCGAUUAAUGCUUGCACCCUCCGUAUUACCGCGGCUGCUGGCAC